UCCCGGAGAGGAGAACAAGCCUCCAAGCACGUGCUCGUCAACUCCAUGCCGGCCGCUCCAAGCGCCCCUGCUUCGUGUCUUCGAGGCAGGCGCUGAGAUAGCCUUUGCAGCGAGCUGUGGUGUGUGGACUCUGCGGCGAGAUAGGAUUCAGAAUCCUUUUCCGUGAUAGCACCUCCAAGGAAGGAAGGAAGGAGAUUGAGGUCGGCACCUCCUGAAAGCAUGCAUGCUCUCCACCGAGAGAGGGAAGGGCAUCUUUUUCUUGGGUUGCAGUUUCCACCUUGUUGUUGGGUGAGCUGAUUCGUUGUUUGUCAGAGCUCUUGUGGAUAAUCAGACAUGGGGUUCAUGGCAAAAUUAGGACAGACUGAAGGCAGCAAAUUCCGUGUUGGCCGUGCACUUUGAGGAGAAGACAUUGUCUUUGUAUAAGUGCCCCUACAAUCAUCUCUUUACAGCAGAGAUAAGGUCUUCAGAUAGAUAUGGCCGCAUAAAUCGCACCGAUGGAUCCAGUCCUUCGCUAGGUCCAACCUACCCCGCACCAGCCUCAAGCACGCGAGACACUGUUACCUUGUGUUCUAACUGGUUACCACAAUCAAAUCCAUU